AGUACCAACCGCACUUGCAAUUUCCUUCAAGGUUCUCUCCCGCCAAUACUCAUGCGGUAACUCCACCAAGCGAAUCCAAAGAGAUACAUGAGUUUGUUUCUGAGCUAGAUAUUUGAAAGCUUUGGUCCAUUGUGAUAACUGUAACAAACCCGGCUUGAGGUUAAUUGUGCCUACUGCUCAUAUCUUUCUUAGAUCGUCAGUCGUGUCAAAAUGAAAGUCAUAGUAACCUUUGCCGAGAGGCACCAUUUUCCAACCAGACGAUGUUUUCCAAAUCUUUCCGAUUUUAUCGCUCAAGUCACAUGCAGAGUAUGGCUUAUCUCCCUUGUUAAGAGUCAAACGAGCCCUUAACACAUUCUUGCAUUCAUCUACACCCCUAUGGUAGUCUUCCUGGAAGAUCUUGAUACUCAAAGCAUCUCCCUUAAAGCAUGGAGUAGGUAGAGGUCUGUCAUCAAUCACUUUUGAACCCGCUAGGGCUGCUGCAAAUUAUUUUAGUUGUCACUAAAUUUGGUGGCACCGUUGUUGUUGAAGUAGCUGAUGUGAAAGGUGCGGUGUCGGACACACGGCCAUGGGCACGUGAAUGGCAUCUGGGGCCUGAGUGCAAUUCACCUGACUAAUUCUAGGUCUCAAAAUUGACAAUUGAAAUUGACGUGAAAAACUAAUUUGUGUUGCGAUUGUUUUCAUAAAGCACCGAACCCAAUGAACCCCCAUUGACUGGACUAAUUAAUCAAUUGUUUGAAGGCAAAAAAUUGAAUACAUAAAAUGGCACCUUCGUGAAUCAACAAAUGGAUAAUUGAUAGAAACAAAAAG
rnacentral:lncRNA from 1 species